rnacentral:tRNA from 1 species
CGCCGGCCGCCGAGGCGGUCAGGCUGGCCGCGCUGCUGACGCAGAUCGAGCAGCUGCCCGAGACGCGCGAGUUCUACGCCCGCGUCGGCGCC